AGUGAUGUCUAUCUCCACUGGGCUUUUCUAUAGCCCCACGUUGUUGGAAAUGCCUCAUAGAGUAACUAUGUGGUUUUGCCUUACUCAGAGAAAUAUCUGUUAGAUUUGUGAUAAAGAACUACAAGACAGGG
ensembl:snoRNA